rnacentral:misc_RNA from 1 species
GAUGAAGAACGCAGCGAAAUGCGAUACUUGGUGUGAAUUGCAGAAUCCCGUGAACCAUCGAGUCUUUGAACGCAAGUUGCGCCCGAAGCCAUUAGGCCGAGGGCACGCCUGCCUGGGCGUCACACGUCGUUGCCCCCCCCAUCUACUCCUUCGGGAUUGCGGGGGGCGGAUGAUGGCCUCCCGUGCGCCUCGUCGCGCGGUUGGCAUAAAUGCCAAGUCCUCGGCGACGCACGCCACGACAAUCGGUGGUUGCGAAACCUCGGUUGCCCGUCGUGUGCGGUCGUCGCUCAUCGAGGGCUCGAAAAAAUUGCCGGGCUCCGGCUCGGCUUUCAACGCGACCCCAGGUCAGGCGGGGUUACCCGCUGAAUUUAAGCAUAUCAAUAAGCGGAGGA